rnacentral:rRNA from 1 species
GCGAACGCUGGCGGCAGGCUUAACACAUGCAAGUCGAGCGGGCAUCCUUGUGGUGUCAGCGGCAGACGGGUGAGUAACGCGUGGGAACGUGCCCCUCGGUUCGGAAUAACUCAGGGAAACUUGAGCUAAUACCGGAUACGUGCGAGAGCAGAAAGGUUUAUCUGCCGAAGGAUCGGCCCGCGUCUGAUUAGCUAGUUGGUGAGGUUAUGGCUCACCAAGGCGACGAUCAGUAGCUGGUCUGAGAGGAUGAUCAGCCACACUGGGACUGAGACACGGCCCAGACUCCUACGGGAGGCAGCAGUGGGGAAUAUUGGACAAUGGGGGCAACCCUGAUCCAGCCAUGCCGCGUGAGUGAUGACGGCCUUAGGGUUGUAAAGCUCUUUUCUCCGGGACGAUAAUGACGGUACCGGAGGAAUAAGCCCCGGCUAACUUCGUG